CAGGGAGCUAGGAUGGAGGAUUAGGAGGUGUGGAUUUCUAUAUUUAAUCUUAUUUUCCAUUUUGUUAAAUGUAGGCGAUAAGUAAAUGUAGUUCAAAUCUUAGGAAGUGACUGUUCACCAUUUAAGGGUUACAAGUGAUUCAAACCAAACCUCCAUAUCUAGUUCCUUGGUUAGAAAAUGUAAACUGGCAGCCACAUUUAGGGUUUUGUUUGCUAAAUUGCAAAGUUUUAGUUUAAAUAUGCUGCUUUGGAAAACAAAUUCUCCAUCUUGGCUGUAGUCACAGCUUGUGUGUUUUAUUUUGAAGUUUGCCAAAAAAAA